AACGAACGCUGGCGGCAUGCCUAACACAUGCAAGUCGAACGAGACCUUCGGGUCUAGUGGCGCACGGGUGCGUAACGCGUGGGAACCUGCCCUUAGGUUCGGAAUAACUCCCCGAAAGGGGUGCUAAUACCGGAUAAUGUCUUCGGACCAAAGAUUUAUCGCCUUUGGUUGGGCCCGCGUUGGAUUAGCUAGUUGGUAGGGUAAAAGCCUACCAAGGCGACGAUCCAUAGCUGGUCUGAGAGGAGGAUCAGCCACACUGGGACUGAGACACGGCCCAGACUCCUACGGGAGGCAGCAGUGGGGAAUAUUGGACAAUGGGCGAAAGCCUGAUCCAGCAAUGCCGCGUGAGUGAUGAAGGCCUUAGGGUUGUAAAGCUCUUUUACCCGGGAUGAUAAUGACAGUACCGGGAGAAUAAGCGCCGGCUAACUCCGUG
rnacentral:rRNA from 1 species